GACAGAGGGUGCGAACGUUGCUCGGAAUUACUGGGCGUAAAGCGCGUGUAGGCGGUUCUGCAAGUCUGGUGUGAAAGCCCAAGGCUCAACCUUGGAAGUGCAUUGGAAACUACGGAGCUAGAGUUCUGGAGAGGAGAGCGGAAUUCCCGGUGUAGAGGUGAAAUUCGUAGAUAUCGGGAGGAACACCAGUGGCGAAGGCGGCUCUCUGGACAGGUACUGACGCUGAGACGCGAGAGCGUGGGUAGCAAACAGG
rnacentral:misc_RNA from 1 species